UUCAUGUUCAUGAUGUGAAACUCUUCACGUCCAAGCAUCAAACUGAAUUAACAUGUUCUUCCAAUGAUCUUGUAGACCCUUUAAAAAAAUGGUUGAUUGUAGACAUACCACCAUUUCCUGCAACGACCGUGCACAGAGGGCAGGGUAAUGCCCCUCUAGCUUCAAGAAAUAUCUUAAAUGAACUGAAGUUAUAACACCUAAUUACAGUGCUAAGAGCAAUAUAGAACAAAUUUGACAUCCAAUACAUUUGCACCUACUAUUCAUACCUAGUCAAUAAUAUCUUAAUAAAUACAGUAGAUUAGUUUGGUGGCAAGAAUAUGGCAAAGAUACAUUAAGAUAAGUAGAAUGGAAUAGCAGAUUCAUUUGAAGGCAGCGUGAUUCCAGCAUUAACCAAUGUAAACCACCCAUAAAUACUCUAUACUUCAGAGUUAAAAAGGUUUCAGGAAACCAUUAAAUAUUAUAAGAUGAGGAACACAUACCUAUAACAUUUCGAGUGCAAGAAAUUUUUGGAUCUCCAACUAAAACAUGAAGCAUAAUAGAGGCCUUUUUGCAGUGAACAGUGGAGAGAAACAAAGAGAAAAUGUAUGAGUGUAUUACUUACUCACUGAAACGAAAAACAAUUGCUAAUACACAAUACAUUAAUAGUGAAACUGAUUGUUUUAGACUGCUUUUGCUAUACUUCACCCAAAAACUUCAAAAGUAAUCCUCAUAAAACUGGUCCCAGAAACCUGCAGUUGAAAAAGGACUUGAAACCCCAUCCUAGUUCACUGAGCAGAAUAAAAAGAUGGCGUGCCUGAGGUUGAAGGACAUAAUUUUUUUUGAAGCCAUGAUAUGAGAAAAAUGGUUGAUGUAUAACUGAAAUUUGGUUAUAUGGGUUAAACAUUGGAUCCUAAGAUCUUGCAAAACCUAUGAACAAACAAAAAGAACCAACCUGAACAAGAAACAAUUCUACGAGAAAGACAAACAGCUGAAUAUUUAAUUACCGAUGAUGUGUAUUGAGUUCCACCAUAAACUUCGGAGCAAAGGUAGCAACGUGAGAAAUUAUGAUAUAUCUGGCUCAUCUACCACCUGACUGAAUAGAGCAACGGAAAUCACAGCAAAUUAUAAGGAAUGUAAAAUCAAAGUACUAUGCAGGGUGAUAAUGCCAUUCAGCGCAAGACUGGAAGAGUGGAAGAGAACGCCGCUGACUUCACCGUGUUGGAGCCUGUGCUGAAAGCAUAUAUCACUCACUCCUUUCCUGCAAACUCCACAAGGGAUCUGACUAAACUAUACACUGACGAUCCCAAACUAAAUACGAUGAAAAAGAAGUUCUAAC
rnacentral:lncRNA from 1 species